UUAGCUCGACACAUGUUUAUUUAAUUGUCUCGUGCUAUAACAGAAUGCGUUAUUAAAUAUUUGUGUCAGUUUGUAUUUCUUGGGGAAAGGUGCAAUUUGUACGGAACAGCCAUUCACGAAAUCAUACACGCCUUGGGUUUCUACCAUGAGCACACACGACCCGACAGGGACAACUACGUCACGGUCGACUGGAGCCAAAUCAAGACGGCGAAUGGAAAAUUACAGUUCAAAAUUUCGGACCAGAACUACCCCAAAGAGUACGAUUUCGACAGCCUGAUGCACUAUCCGUUCAGCCCCAUCCUUCAACCACUUCCGGGCAAAGUGCCGCCCGGAGCGCGACCUGGGCAGAGGGACCACUUGUCGAAAAACGACAUCAUGCAACUCCAGGCCCUGUACCCCUGCAGCAAUUCUCCCUUCUACAGGAAGAAGUAGCGCCCAACGCAGCAUUUGUUAUGCACAAUUUUAAUCGAUCAGAGUAAAAUGGGUAAUUUAUGUGCACAUUGCACAUUCCGAGAACAAUGGGACAUU